UUGUUUUCUGGGUUUAAUAUCAUUUACUUUGUUUUUUCUUGACCUUUUUAUUUCAAUUAAUUCUUUUUGUUUAAUGGUUUUUAGAUACCUUUUGUAUAAGGGGUAUAAGAUUUUCCAUUUAGGUUUUUAUUAAUCGAAGUUGGGAUAACUUUUUUUGCAUAUCUGAUGUAGAAAAUUUUUUAAUGCUUUUAAAAGUAGGGACAUCCUUACGUUCUCUGUUAAUCUGUUAAUUAAUUGUCGUUGCUGGGGUUUUCUUGGUGAGUUUUCCUAAUUUAUUUUUUUGGGGGUUAAGUUUUUAAAAGUGCAAUUUUUUGUUUAAUAACAUUUGUUUUUUAUGCCAUUAGGAUAUUUUUGUCUUUAAUAACUAUCAGUAAUUUAUAUAUUAGUAGGAUAAGAGUAUUUUUUACGGUUUGUGAAAAAUUUGUCUUUUAAGAUAUAUUAUUUUUGCUCUGUUUUAGGGGAAACUACUUUUCAAAAUUUAUUCUCCAUUUUUGGAGACCUUCCUGCCCGGUGAAUUGUUUAAACGGCCGUGGUAUUUUGACCAUGCUAAGGUAGCGAAAUCAUUAGCCUUUUGAUUGAAGGCUUGCAUGAAUGGGGGCAUUUCUCUGGAACUUUCGUAUUUCUUUGAAUUUUUAGUUUGGUUGAGAAUAACCAUAUUAUCGAAUGAGACGAGAAGACCCCACGAAUCUUGAUCCCUUAAUAGGGAUUUGGUUGGGGCAAUAUUUUUACAUGAAAACUUUAUUAUUUAAAAAUAUAGAUGAACUUUUAUUUUGACAGAUUUCAAGAUACUCUGGGGAUAACAGCAUAAUUUUCUUUAUGAGCACUUAUUGAAAAGAAAGAUUGUGACCUCGAUGUUGGAUUGGGACCCCCGGUAAGGUGCAGUUGCCUUAAUCGGUUGGACUGUUCGUCCUUUAAUCUCCCACAUGAUCUGAGUUCAAGUCGGCGUAAGCCAGACUGGUUUUUAUCUUUUUGUUAUUUUUUAUAGAGGGUAGUACGAAAGGACCCCCUUUACCAAAAUAUUUCUCCUAGUUGUUUUGGA
rnacentral:rRNA from 1 species